AGUUCUAGCUCACCUUUCUGGUGUUGUUCUUGUACUCAUCUAAUUAAUCCAGUUCUUCUUGAACUUCUUGUCUAAUUUUCUUAUCUGUAUUUUGUAUCCGUGACAGUAAGGUUCCAACAAGCCCAACACAUGACUCCUCCGUUGGAUAGCGUUCGGAUUAUAAAAUUGUUAUCAACCUGAUUUGGUUGACGAAUCCUUGAAACUUGGAAUGCAUACCAUCGAACUUGUCCGGAAGGCUAAGUCGAGGCUCCUUAUGUUGUAGAAUUAGCGGUGCUUGUCGAACCUGAGGCAAAGUUGCUUCUCCAAGUACAGAAGUUUGAGGCUGGUGCAACCUAGAUUGUGCCAUCCCAGAUGUUCCAUCAUUAUGAAGCCUUGCCAUUAACGACUCCUUCAAUCUCUGCAGUUCUUUGCGAUAACGUAGCGAGGACAUUCAUGAUAACAUCUAACUUCGACUCUGAACUUUCCGUCAUACUAAUAUCUUGACUUCCAACCAUUCUAAGAGAAAGACAGAAAUGACUCUAUAAAAAGACAAUAUUGGUUUAGAGGAGGGUACUCCACAACCUCUAAAAUACCUUAAGAGCUUCAAGAAAAGGGAUAAUCCACUCUCUCCAAGAAGAAUAAGAUUUCAAUAUUGUAAUAAAAGAAGUAUCAGUUUAGAGGAGAGUAAUCCGCAACCUCUAAAAUACUACUACACUUCUAAGUAGAGGGAUAAUCUAUACUCUAAUGAGGAAGGAACUCACUCUGAUAUUUGAGUUGAGUGAAGUCUCGACAAACUGUCAUGGACACAAAAUACAGAUUUGAAAUCUAAGAAGAAAUUCAAGAAGAACUGGCAAGAACUAGAUUAAUCAGAUGAAUACAAAAACAACACUAGAGAGGUGAGCUAGAGCUCCAAGAGAU
rnacentral:lncRNA from 1 species